rnacentral:rRNA from 1 species
UACGUAGGGGGCAAGCGUUGUCCGGAUUUAUUGGGCGUAAAGAGCGUGUAGGCGGCUAGGUAGGUCCGUUGUGAAAACUCGAGGCUCAACCUCGAGACGUCGAUGGAAACCAUCUAGCUAGAGUCCGGAAGAGGAGAGUGGAAUUCCUGGUGUAGCGGUGAAAUGCGCAGAUAUCAGGAAGAACACCCGUGGCGAAGGCGGGUUACUGGGCUGAUACUGACGCUGAUGCGCGAAAGCCAGGGGAGCAAACGGG